CUGUUGGCGUGCUUAACACAUGCAAGUCGAACGGAAAGGCCCUGCUUUUGUGGGGUGCUCGAGUGGCGAACGGGUGAGUAACACGUGGGUAACCUGCCCUUGACUUUGGGAUAACUUCAGGAAACUGGGGCUAAUACCGGAUAGGAGCUCCUGCUGCAUGGUGGGGGUUGGAAAGUUUCGGCGGUUGGGGAUGGACUCGCGGCUUAUCAGCUUGUUGGUGGGGUAGUGGCUUACCAAGGCUUUGACGGGUAGCCGGCCUGAGAGGGUGACCGGCCACAUUGGGACUGAGAUACGGCCCAGACUCCUACGGGAGGCAGCAGUGGGGAAUAUUGCACAAUGGGCGGAAGCCUGAUGCAGCAACGCCGCGUGCGGGAUGACGGCCUUCGGGUUGUAAACCGCUUUCGCCUGUGACGAAGCGUGAGUGACGGUAAUGGGUAAAGAAGCACCGGCUAACUACGUGCCAGCAGCCGCGGUGAUACGUAGGGUGCGAGCGUUGUCCGGAUUUAUUGGGCGUAAAGGGCUCGUAGGUGGUUGAUCGCGUCGGAAGUGUAAUCUUGGGGCUUAACCCUGAGCGUGCUUUCGAUACGGGUUGACUUGAGGAAGGUAGGGGAGAAUGGAAUUCCUGGUGGAGCGGUGGAAUGCGCAGAUAUCAGGAGGAACACCAGUGGCGAAGGCGGUUCUCUGGGCCUUUCCUGACGCUGAGGAGCGAAAGCGUGGGGAGCGAACAGGCUUAGAUACCCUGGUAGUCCACGCUGUAAACGGUGGGUACUAGGUGUGGGGUCCAUUCCACGGGUUCCGUGCCGUAGCUAACGCUUUAAGUACCCCGCCUGGGGAGUACGGCCGCAAGGCUAAAACUCAAAGGAAUUGACGGGGCCCCGCACAAGCGGCGGAGCAUGCGGAUUAAUUCGAUGCAACGCGUAGAACCUUACCUGGGUUUGACAUGGAUCGGGAGUGCUCAGAGAUGGGUGUGCCUCUUUUGGGGUCGGUUCACAGGUGGUGCAUGGCUGUCGUCAGCUCGUGUCGUGAGAUGUUGGGUUAAGUCCCGCAACGAGCGCAACCCUUGUUCACUGUUGCCAGCACGUUAUGGUGGGGACUCAGUGGAGACCGCCGGGGUCAACUCGGAGGAAGGUGGGGAUGACGUCAAGUCAUCAUGCCCCUUAUGUCCAGGGCUUCACGCAUGCUACAAUGGCUGGUACAGAGAGUGGCGAGCCUGUGAGGGUGAGCGAAUCUCGGAAAGCCGGUCUCAGUUCGGAUUGGGGUCUGCAACUCGACCUCAUGAAGUCGGAGUCGCUAGUAAUCGCAGAUCAGCAACGCUGCGGUGAAUACGUUCCCGGGGCUUGUACACACCGCCCGUCAAGUCAUGAAAGUUGGUAACACCCGAAGCCGGUGGCCUAACCGUUGUGGGGGAGCCGUCGAAGGUGGGACUGGUGAUUAG
rnacentral:rRNA from 1 species